AUGCCGCCGCCGCCGCCCACCCGUACGUCCCCAGCAACGGCCUCACCAUCAUCCUCAUGUGCGCCCGGCGUUUCCGUCUCCUCGCUGGCCAUAGGCUCAUCGAGCUUCCUCUCCAUGCGUUGCUGCCUCCUCUGCGCCGCCACCCCAUGGUCUCCACCAGCGUCCCUGCCGAGUACAUGGGAGCCGCCGCUGUCGCCGGGGACAAGGAUACACGUGGCAACCGCCGCAGCCUUAGGGCACGCCUGCGGGCUAGCCUACGCCUACUGUAUCUGGUGUUCUGGUGCAUCCGGUGCGACCUCAAAGAAUACGUUCUUCUAG
rnacentral:rRNA from 1 species